UACGUAGGGCGCAAGCGUUGUCCGGAAUUAUUGGGCGUAAAGAGCUCGUAGGCGGCUUGUCACGUCGGGUGUGAAAGCCCGGGGCUUAACCCCGGGUCUGCAUUCGAUACGGGCAGGCUAGAGUGUGGUAGGGGAGAUCGGAAUUCCUGGUGUAGCGGUGAAAUGCGCAGAUAUCAGGAGGAACACCGGUGGCGAAGGCGGCACUCUGGGCCGGUACUGACGCUGAGGAGCGAAAGCGUGGGUAGCAAACAGG
rnacentral:rRNA from 1 species